rnacentral:rRNA from 1 species
GACGAACGCUGGCGGCGUGCUUAACACAUGCAAGUCGAACGGAAAGGCCCUGCUUACAGGGUGCUCGAGUGGCGAACGGGUGAGUAACACGUGGGUGAUCUGCCCCUUACUUUGGGAUAAGCCUGGGAAACUGGGUCUAAUACUGGAUAGGACCAUGCUGUAGGUGGUGUGGUGGAAAGAUUAGUUUCGGUAAGGGAUGAGCUCGCGGCCUAUCAGCUUGUUGGUGGGGUAAUGGCCUACCAAGGCGUCGACGGGUAGCCGGCCUGAGAGGGUGGACGGCCACAUUGGGACUGAGAUACGGCCCAGACUCCUACGGGAGGCAGCAGUGGGGAAUAUUGCACAAUGGGCGCAAGCCUGAUGCAGCGACGCCGCGUGGGGGAUGACGGCCUUCGGGUUGUAAACUCCUUUCGGCCAUGACGAAGCCCUUGUGGUGACGGUAGUGGUAGAAGAAGCACCGGCUAACUACGUG